GCUUUGCGAGCGGAAAGAGCUUCUCCUACCUACUCCUGAAAAACACGGGACUACUGGGGCAGUCAACACCUUUCCUGCAAAUCUACCGAGGUCAAUGCUGAAGACAUCAAUGCCAGGGAUCAUUAAACAGUACAUCAUCCUUGCCACAGUGUGAUGCUACAACUAGUUGUCCUACAACUACACUGCAGCAACGUUUAGCUGCAUCGUUUUACAAGCCAGCGACCUGAACACGCAAUGUGUACCAGGGGUGGGCAAAGCACGGCCCGCCGGUGUCUUUGGACCGGCCCGUCUGCCAAAAUGUGAAGUGCACUUGUUUUUCUCUUCUUCUUUUAUUUAGCCUAUCUUAAUUUGAUUUAAAUUUAUCAAGUACAACAGCGUUAGAAAUCGGCAGUUCGUAGCGUUCUAACACAAAGUAUACAGAUAACAAAUAAUACGACUGACAUGUCUGAUGUAGUCGUUAGAGAGCAUCAUCAGCGGCGGCUGCCUUCAAAGCAAAAGCUGGUUUUCUUGUGAGCGGAUUCAAACAGCUGCACUUUACACAAUAAAUCGGAAUCAAGAACACACAAGACUGCUGCAAGAAAACAAGUUCGAGGCUUGUAAACACCUAUCAUUAUUUUCGUUAAUAUUACUGGACUGCUGGUGUAACGUACUCAAACUUCCCAGCAGGACUAAACGUCUCAGUUCAAACUUCCGAUGGAUUAAUAAACAUUUUCUUGGG